rnacentral:rRNA from 1 species
CCUACGGGGGGCUGCAGUGGGGAAUAUUGGACAAUGGGCGAAAGCCUGAUCCAGCCAUGCCGCGUGUGUGAAGAAGGCCUUCGGGUUGUAAAGCACUUUCAGUGGGGAAGAAAGCCUUGGGGCUAAUACCCUCGAGGAAGGACAUCACCCACAGAAGAAGCACCGGCUAACUCCGUGCCAGCAGCCGCGGUAAUACGGAGGGUGCGAGCGUUAAUCGGAAUUACUGGGCGUAAAGCGCGCGUAGGCGGUCUGAUAAGCCGGUUGUGAAAGCCCCGAGCUCAACCUGGGAACGGCAUCCGGAACUGUCAGGCUAGAGUGCAGGAGAGGAAGGUAGAAUUCCCGGUGUAGCGGUGAAAUGCGUAGAGAUCGGGAGGAAUACCAGUGGCGAAGGCGGCCUUCUGGACUGACACUGACGCUGAGGUGCGAAAGCGUGGGUAGCAAACAGGAUUAGAUACCCCUUAGUC